rnacentral:lncRNA from 1 species
CAUAGCGGUCCGGUCCAGCUGGCUCCGCGCGCACAGCCAUCUCUUGGCGCUCUGCCCCUAGAGGGCCUCCUCGCACUUCUCAUUAGUCAGAUUGCCAGUCAUACUCACAUUUUCACCAAUCGCUAGUCAGAUGGGCGGAACUCCUUUCUGGUUCAGGCCAAUCACAGCCCAGCCCUGUUGCGCGCGUAGCCCCAACUCGCGCGAGGACGGGGACCCAAGCCGGGGACUCGCGAGGCGCCGCCCGCAGCUGGAGCGUCCUGGAAAUGCUCCAAGCACUCGUCUGCAUCUGGAUAAAUGGGUAUCAUAAGGAUCCUGGAGAUGACCGAACAUAUGUGGGUGGUGUGCACAGGUCACACGAGAACCUCGUGUCACUUUAUGUGAAGGAUGCUGAGGACCUGUGGGUCCUUGGGGCCCUGGAGCUGAUCCCUCAUGGAUCCUAAGGAACAACUACGUAUGCACUCAGGAUCUUGCUAUGUUUUCCAGGCUUAUUUUGGCUUCAAGCGAAUCCUCCUCCUGAGUAGCUGGACUGCAGGUGUACUCUGCCCCACCUGUCUGGGAUAACACAUAACCCCACUCUUUGCGGAUUGAACCCAGGGCCUAUAAACUAUGAGCUCAUCUACAGCUCUUUUGAUAAAUUUUAAUUUUGACACAGGGCCUCUUUAAGUAGCUAAAAGGACCAGGCUGGGCAUGAACUUGCAAUCCUCCUACUUCCCCCUGCCAGAAUGCUGGAAUUAGAGGUGUGCACCACCACAUCAGGCUUGGGAUAACUUUUCAUCUACAUGGACAUGCAUGUUGAGUGUCUGGCAUGGUGUGGGGCACGUGCCGAUGUCCCUGCCCGACUGUUCCUGGAAGGUGGCAGGUCCCACACACCCUAGGGCUCCUCUGAGGCCAGGCUCUGCCCUGGGCAGCAUCAUGGUCACAGCCUACAGGAAGGGAUCUUUCAUAGCCCAAAU